CAGCCGCCGCGGUAAUACGAAGGGUGCAAGCGUUAAUCGGAGUUACUGGGCGUAAAGGGUGCGUAGGCGGUUGUUUAAGUCUGUUGUGAAAUCCCCGGGCUCAACCUGGGAAUGGCAAUGGAAACUGGACGGCUAGAGUGUGUCAGAGGAUGGUGGAAUUCCCGGUGUAGCAGUGAAAUGCGUAGGGAUCGGGAGGAACAUCAGUGGCGAAGGCGGCCAUCUGGGACAACACUGACGCUGAAGCACGAAAGCGUGGGGAGCGAACAGGAUUAGAUACCCGAGUAGUCCCUGUCUCUUAUAA
rnacentral:rRNA from 1 species